rnacentral:rRNA from 1 species
CAAGUCGAACGGGCAUCUUCGGAUGUCAGUGGCAGACGGGUGAGGAACACGUGGGAACAUGCCCUUCGGUUCGGAAUAACUCAGGGAAACUUGAGCUAAUACCGGAUACGCCCGAGAGGGGAAAGAUUUAUUGCCGAAGGAUUGGCCCGCGUCUGAUUAGCUAGUUGGUGAGGUAACGGCUCACCAAGGCGACGAUCAGUAGCUGGUCUGAGAGGAUGAUCAGCCACAUUGGGACUGAGACACGGCCCAAACUCCUACGGGAGGCAGCAGUGGGGAAUAUUGGACAAUGGGCGAAAGCCUGAUCCAGCCAUGCCGCGUGAGUGAUGAAGGCCUUAGGGUUGUAAAGCUCUUUUAUCCGGGAAGAUAAUGACUGUACCGGAAGAAUAAGCCCCGGCUAACUUCGUGCCAGCAGCCGCGGUAAUACGAAGGGGGCUAGCGCUGCUCGGAAUCACUGGGCGUAAAGGGCGCGUAGGCGGAUGAUUAAGUCGGAGGUGAAAGCCCAGGGCUCAACCCUGGAAUUGCCUUCGAUACUGAUCGUCUCGAGAAUGGAAGAGGUAAGUGGAAUACCGAGUGUAGAGGUGAAAUUCGUAGAUAUUCGGUGGAACACCAGUGGCGAAGGCGACUUACUGGUCCAUUUCUGACGCUGAGGCGCGAAAGCGUGGGGAUCAAACAGGAUUAGAUACCCUGGUAGUCCACGCCGUAAACGAUGAAUGCCAGCCGUUGGGGAGCUUGCUCUUCAGUGGCGCAGCUAACGCUUUAAGCAUUCCGCCUGGGGAGUACGGUCGCAAGAUUAAAACUCAAAGGAAUUGACGG